rnacentral:rRNA from 1 species
AUUGAACGCUGGCGGCGGGCCUAACACAUGCAAGUCGAGCGAGCGGCGGACGGGUGAGUAAUGUAUGGGGACUGCCCGAUAGCGGGGGAUAACUACUGGAAACGGUGGCUAAUACCGCCUACUAUCUGAUACCCCCUAUGGGAUUAACUAGUAGGUGGGGUAAAGGCUCACCUAGGCGACGAUCUCUCGCUGGUCUGAGAGUAUGAUCAGCCACACUUGGACUGAGACACGGCCCAGACUCCUACGGAGGCAGCAGUGGGGAAUAUUGCACAAUGGGCGAAAGCCUGAUGCAGCCAUGCCGCGGGUAUGAAGAAGGCCUUAGGGUUGUAAAGUACUUUCAGCGGGGAGGCGUUACCCGCAGAAGAAGCACCGGCUAACUCCGUGCCAGCAGCCGCGGUAAUAC